rnacentral:rRNA from 1 species
GACAGAGGGUGCAAACGUUGUUCGGAAUUACUGGGCGUAAAGCGAGUGUAAGCGGUCUCGUAAGUCGGGUGUGAAAGCCCUGGGCUCAACCCAGGAAGUGCACUCGAAACUGCGAGGCUAGAGUACUGGAGAGGUUGGUGGAAUUCUCGGUGUAGAGGUGAAAUUCGUAGAUAUCGAGAGGAACACCGGUGGCGAAGGCGGCCAACUGGACAGAUACUGACGCUGAGACUCGAAAGCGUGGGGAGCAAACAGG